rnacentral:rRNA from 1 species
GUGGUGAAAUUUCGAACGCAUAGCACCAACUGGGCCUCCAGUUGGUACGUCUGGUUCAGGGUUGUU